UGGCAACACCCUUGCCACUAAUGAUCUGGUACCCUCAUCAAGGUUUUGUGCUCCACUUGGAAAGACGAUGGGACAACUGUGUUCUCUGGAGGUUGUAAUAAGCAAGUUAAGAUGUGGCCUCUGAUGUAUAUCCUUGGUUUUCAAUGCCCAUAGGAAUAUUUACCAAUUCAUUGUGUAGUAAGAGUUUUCAAUGUAUAUCCUUUUACGCAUUUUGGAACUUCUUUUUUCUUAAACUACUGAUUGCUAAAUUGUGUGUGUAUUUUUUUGGGCUUAAAAUGCUAAUUGCCAAAGUCUGGAACUAUAUAUAUAUGCAGCAGCUCUGAUAUUUACCAAGUGAAUUGACAUCUUUGCUUUAGUUGGCUACAUACAUUUUUUAAUUACAUUAAUUCAUGUAUAGAUUAGGUUUUGAAGGCAUCCAAUUGACUUAUUGCAUAGAGGAAUUAAAACUUUAGUUUGGAAAUAAGAAUAAUUAUAAAUUACGUUUCUGUUUGAAGUCAUUUUGACUGUAUUAUCUCAUUCUUAUCAAGAGUUCUUUCUUAUCCAUUUGGUUUAAUUUUGUGUCCAGAAAAUGCACAUGGAUUGAAAUUCUUCUACUUGGGAAAAAUGCAGCUUGGUCAUUAAUCCCAUAUUGAAGGAAGCUGAGGAAACCAUGAAUUUUCACUCUAAAAAAGAGGAGGUUUGCUUCUGGCUUCAUCAAAUGUCUGGCCAUCAUCAAUCCUUACUGUUAUGAGUGUAUGAAAUGUCUUACUAGCUUGGCUAUCUGGGCUUCACUUUGAAAUGCAGUGGUACUUCAUGACUUCAUGAUUGCUACUACUGGGAAGUAUUGGCAGUGCUGCUCAAAACUAGCGUAUGUUCCUCUACAUAGAGCAUGAGGAGACCAAGCUACAGCAGGAGGGUUCUAAUAAAGAUA